UUACUCACCUGGUAAGGGAGACGCCAUAAUCAAGAAGGUGAUUUUCCCAGGUUGGGACCUCCCUAACACUCUGCAUGUGCUAACCCCUCUGAUUUCCCCAAAUGAAGAAAACCUGACUGCAUACUUCUGCUAUCGGGAAACUGUGGUAAAAAAAGUUGAAAAUAGUGCUUUUCUUA
rnacentral:snRNA from 11 species